UACAGAGGUCUCAAGCGUUGUUCGGAUUCAUUGGGCGUAAAGCGGGUGUAGGUGGCUUUAUAAGUCGGGUGUGAAAGCCCUGGGCUCAACCCAGGAAGUGCAUUCGAUACUGUUUAGCUUGAGUGCGGGAGAGGUUACUAGAAUUCUUGGUGUAGUGGUGAAAUACGUAGAUAUCAAGAGGAAUACCGGAGGCGAAGGCGGGUAACUGGCCUAGCACUGACACUCAGACCCGAAAGCGUGGGGAUCAAACAGG
rnacentral:rRNA from 1 species